rnacentral:rRNA from 1 species
AGAGCGAACGCUGGCGGCAUGCUUAACACAUGCAAGUCGCACGGCCGGCAACGGCAGUGGCGGACGGGUGAGUAACGCGUAGGUAUCUAUCUCCGGGUGGGGGACAACUGUGGGAAACUACAGCUAAUACCGCAUGAAGCCCGAGGGCCAAAGCAGCGAUGCGCCUGGAGAGGAGCCUGCGUACGAUUAGCUUGUUGGUGAGGUAAAGGCUCACCAAGGCGACGAUCGUUAGCUGGUCUGAGAGGAUGAUCAGCCACACUGGGACUGAGACACGGCCCAGGCUCCUACGGGAGGCAGCAGUGGGGGAAUAUUGGACAAUGGGCGCAAGCCUGAUCCAGCAAUGCCGCGUGAGUGAAGAAGGUCUUCGGAUUGUAAAGCUCUUUCGACGGGGACGAUGAUGACGGUACCGUAGAAGAAGCCCCGGCUAACUUCGCGCCAGCAGCCGCGGUAA